UGUAAUUGUGGACAAUGUCAAUUGUGUUGAUCUUUUCAGAGCAUCAAAUUUUGGUCUUGUUGAUUCUUUCCAUUGUUUUUCUAUUCUCUGUGCCAUUUAUUUCUGCGCUAAUCUUUAUUAUUGCCUUUCUUCUGGUGUCUGAGGGCUUGUUUUGUUGCUCUUUUUCUGUUUGUUUGAAUUAUAGUGUUAAUGUUUUGAUUUGGGCCCUUCUUUUUUGAUGUGUGCAUUUACUGCUGAAAAUUGACCUCUAACACUGCUUUUGGUGUGUCCCAAAGGUUUUGGUAAGAUGUGCUUUCAUUCUUGUUUGAUUUUGUUAAUUUUUUUAUUCCAUCCUUGAUUUCUUCUAUUGCCCAGUAGUUUUUAAUCGUGAUAUUCAGUGUCCAUGUAUUUGAUUUUUUUCUUUGCUGUUUCUGUUAUUAAUUUCUACUUUUAUGGCAUUAUGAUCAGAGAAGAUUCUUUGUAUUAUUUCAAUGUUUUGGAUUUUGUUAAGGCUUGCGUUGUGGAGUAAAAUGUAGUCUAUUCUGGAGAAUGUUCCAUGUGCAUUGGAAAAGAAUGAAUACUUUGCUGCUGUUGGGUGGAGUGUUCUGUAUAUGUCUGUGAGGUCGAGUUGGUGGCCUGUUUCAUUUAGAUCUUCUGUAUCUUUACUGAGUUUCUUUCUAGAUGUUCUGUUCUUCACCAAAAGUGGUGUGUUAAAGUCUGCCAAUAUUACUGUGAAACUGUCUGUUUCUCUUUUCAGUGUUUUUAGAGUUUGUUUUAUGUAUUUUGGAGUCCUGUCAUUGGGUGCGUAUGUAUUUAUUAUGGUCAUGUUCUCCUAGUGUAUUGAUCCUAUAUCAUUAUAUAGUAUUUGUCCUUCCUUAUCCUUUAUGAUGAAUUUUGCUAUAAAGUCUAUUUUAUCAGAGGUUAAUACUGUCACUUCUGCUAUUUUUUGGUUAUUGUUUACUUGAAAUUUUUUUUCCAUCCUUUAAAUUUUAGUUUAUGUCUCUGCAUCUGUCAUGGAUUGACUUUUGUCCCCCCAAAAAAGUGUGUAUCAAUUUAGCUGGGCCUUGAUUCCUGGCAUUUUGUGAUUUUCCUAUAUGUUGUAAAUUGUGCCUCUAUGAUGUUAAUGAGGGAAGAUGGGCGGCUGUUGUGUUAGUGAGGCAGGACUCAAUCUAUAAGAUUGGAUUGUGUCUUGAGGCAAUCUCUUGAGAUAUAAAAGAGAGAAGAGAGCAGAGAGCCAGGGGGACCUCAUACCACCAAGAAAACAGUGCCGGGAGCAGAGUGGUCUUUUGGACCUGGAGUCCCUGUGUGGAGAAGAUCCUAGUCAGGAGGAAGAUUGAUGAGACGGCUGACAGAGAGAGAAAGCCUUCCCUUGGAACUGACACCCUUUGGACUUUUAGCCUACUUUACUGUAAGGAAAUAAACUUCUCUUUGUUAAAGCCAUCCACUUGCGGUAUUUCUGUUAUAGCACCACUAGAUGACUAAGGCAGCGUCUAAGGUGUGUCUCUUGUAGACAGCAUAUAGAUGGAUCAUGUUUUUUAAUCCAUUCUGUCAGUGUCUCUUUACUGGUGCAUUUAGGCCAUUUAUUUUUAGUGUAAUUAUCAAUAAGUAUGAGUUCACUGCCAUUGUUUUGAUGUAUUUAUUUAUAAUCGUGAUGUUGACAUUUUCUCUGUUCUGAUUAAUUUCUGUUCUGAGUUGUUUUGUGUUUAUGUAUUUUCUUUUCAUCUCUCUCAUUAUUGUUGAUUUUGUGUCUGCUGAGUAUUUAUGCUUUUCUUCUCUUUUAGUUGAUAGAUAGGUUUGUAAGUUUCCUUUGUGGUUACCUUGAAAUUUACCUUUAUUUUUCUAAGUUUAAACCAGUGUUUUAGUUCUCGAUAUCACCUUGACUUCCUCUCCAUAUGGAAGUUCUAUGGCUAUACCAUUUGUUCCCUCUUUUUUGUUUUGAUGUUGUUGUCAUUUACAUAUUGAUGUCUCUGGUUCCCGAUUUUCAAUCUUUUAGCUUUGAUUUGUUUUUGUGACUUUCCUAUCUUGGUUGAUCUUUUCUGUGUCCUAGUCUUGGGUUGUUUUCUGAUGUUGUUGGUUCUCUAACCAGAAAAAAAAAAAAACAGAGGACUUCCUUUAAUAUUUGUUGUAGUUUUGGUCUGGUUUUUACAAGUUCCUUUUAUUUCUGUUUAUCUGGAAAUGACCUAAUUUUGCCAAAGUAUUUGAGAGAUAGAAACCCUGGUGGCGUAGUGGUUAAGAGUUAUGGCUGCUAACCAAAAGGUUGGCAGUUGGAAUCCACCACGCACUCCUUGGAAACCCUAUGGGACAAUUCUAGUCUGUCCAGUAGGGUCACUCUGAGUUGGGAUCGACUCAGUGGCAAUGGGUUUGGUGUUUUUUGUUAUUUGAGAGACAAUUUUGCUGGUUAUAUAAUUCUUGGUUGGCAAUUUUUUUUCCUUCAAGACUGUAUGUGUCAUCCCAUUGUCUUCUUGCCCACAUGGUUUCUGCUGAGUCACCUGAGCUUAGUCUUAUUGGUUCUCCUUUGUAGGUGACUUUUCAUUUAUCUUUAGCUGCUCUCAGGAUGUCUUCAGUUUUGGCAAAAUUGGUUAUGUCUUGAUGGCUUUCUUUUGGGAUCUAUCCUGUAUGGGGUUCGUUGAGCUUCUUGAAUAGUUAUCUUCUCAUGUUCCAUGAUAUUAGGGAUUUUUUUCACAGCAAAUCUUCAACGAUUCUCUCUGUGUUUUCUGUUAUCCUACCUGUUCUGGUACUCUGAUCACGAGUAGGUUUUUCUCAUGAUAGUAUCCCACAAAACUCUUACACUUUUUUCACUAUUCUGAUUUUUCCUCAAACAAAUCGGUGUCAAGGGAUUUAUCUUCAAUCUCACUAAUUCUGACUUCCAUUAUCUCAAUUCUGCUCCUAUGACCUUCUACUGAGUUGUCUAAGUCUGAAAUUUUAUUAUUAAUCUUUUGGCUUUCUGGUUGCUGUUUCUGUGUGGUUUCUAGCAGCCCAUUUAUUCUGUCAUUUUGUUCUUGUAUUGUUUUUCUUAAUUUUUCUGUUGCUUUGUCUGUGAGUUCCUUUGUUUGGUCUGAGUAUUGCCUGAUCUCCUUCCUGAUCUUUUGGAGAACUCUGUAUAUUAGUUUUGAAUUCUUUAUCAGGUAAUUCCAUUGCCUUAUCUUCCUCUGGAGUUUUCUGGCUCUUUAUUUUGGUCACUUGCUAUGGCCAUCUUGUCUUGCUUCUUUAUGUGAUUUGAGUUUGACCGUUGUCUCUGAGAAAUCAAUAACUCAUUAUAUUUAUUUAUGGUAUUUUUGUUUACUGCAUCCUGUAUUUUUGUUUUGUUUGAUAUAUUCAAGUAGGCUGGGCGUGUGUGUUACUCUGGUUGUUGGUGUUAUUGAAGUUCUCACCUCUCUGUCUCCAGGGGGUCAGAGCAGCAACUAGGCAUGUGUGCCUGGAAGCCUGUUCACUGUUCCUGCGUGGGUGCAGUUUUUCAGGGUGCAGGUGAAUGGGUGUCAGUCACUGUGUGGUAUGGAGACACUCACCUAGAGUCCUAGGUGGGUAGGGCUGCAUGGAUGUGUUCGGAGCAGGCACAGGUCUCUGGUUGCAAUGGGGGUGAUGUGUGGGCAAGGAGGAGGCUGUUGGCUGCCCCCAGGUGCCCAGAUGGAAAGCAUGUCCCUGUAUGCUACAGUGCAUAGUGGGAAGGAUAGUGCAGCUGGUCUUUGAGCACCUGGUACCAUUGGUUGGAGGGAUUGGCAAGCAGCAUUAAUUCCGAGGCCCCUAGAUGAAGGGGGUGGUACCGCUGGCCCUCAGGCCAUCAGUGUAGGUCGGCGAGGUCCUUUCUUAGGGGGUGGAGUUGUGUCGAAUGCCACAAAUCUGCAGCUCUCUUGGCUGAUGCUGGUGAAAAUGGGCGUCAGGUGGAUGCCCAGCCCAUUUUGUGCUAAUGAGGGUGUGCAGUGCUCUAUUGGUCUGCAUGGCACUGGGGCAGGGGUGAAGGGUGGGGUGAAGUGUACUGCAAGUCUGUGGACUCCCUAUGCCAGUGACUGGGCAAAGAGGUGGGCAUCUCUGGACCUGCCAUGAGCUCCCAGCUCAGAGAGCAUGGCAUUGUUGAAUGCCGUGAGAAUGGUGUCACAGCAGGGUGGGAGAUGUGUGAGGGGAAGGAAGUGCUCCUUGGUCGUGGGGCUCUGGCAGGAGGGAGAGUUAUGGUGUCAGCAUAUGUAGUGGGUUGGGAGCUUGCAGUCAACUUUGGCAGGUCUGGUGUCACUCCUGUUUGGUUGUGGAGGUGUGUGCAGAUUUGCUGCUGCUUAACUGCACCAGAUGGGGUGGGUUUCAGCUUGGGAUGUUGCUGCCUGCCUCAGCCUAUGUGUGCUGUACAAAUUUAGCUAGCAGGUUGCUGGUGAUCCCACAAAUCUGUAUUUCCCUGUUUCUGCUAUUUUUCAAUUGUCUCUUCUUCCACCUAAUGAUCGGUCCAAUUCUUCAGCUUUGUGUUUGAUGACUAGGGCUCCUAGAUUGUCAUAUGUAAUCAAUUCACUUUUUUUUUUUUGGCCUUUGUUGUAAGGGGGAACAAUACAAAGUGUCUGACUAUUCCACCAUCUUGGCCCUGCCUCCCAGAAAUUUAUUUUAAUAAUAUAUAUGCCUUAAAAAAAUUUUUAUUGUGCUUUAGGUGAAAAUAAUAAUACAUUUGUAAUUCAGUAUUCCAGAAUAUUAUAAUUUCACCAUGUGAUCAAUCUAAAAUUACUAAUGAGAUGUUUUACUUUUUUUUUCGUACUGUCUUUGAGGAAAUUUGGUGUGUAUUUUACACUUACAGCACAGCACACUUUGGACUAGCCAUAUUUCAGGUGCUCAAGAGUCAUAUUAGCUUAUAGCUACGUAUUGGUUAGCACAGCUCUAGGGCUUGCUCUUCUGUCAUUUUUUGUGAAGUGGCAGUUUGUUUUGUGAGGUCUCCUGGCCCUAUUUCCCUCUUCUACUUUUUUAGACUUUCUUUUUCCUUGGUCUCUAUUGCCCCUGUCCUGCUCAAUUUGAAUUCUGUGCCAGCGUUUUCUUCUCAGUGUGGGGUUUGUUAUGGAAGGAAGCUUCGGCUGUUCAUUUGGAAUAUUCAUGAGGUCCAAACAUCUCCACUUCUUCCGACCCUUGAACUCAUUCGCUAUUGGAAAUGAAACCCAGUUUGACUUGCUAGGUUUUUAAGUGAAUGUUGUUACUGCUGCGAGUGUGCUCUGACUUGAUUGGACCAUUGCGAUCCGUAGAAUUUUUAUUGACUGAUUUUUCUGAGUAGAUCAUCAGGCCUUUCUUCCUAGUCUGUCUUAGUCUGGAAACUCCACUGAAACCUGUUCAGUAUCACAGCAACAAUCAAGCCUCUAAGACAGAUAGGUGGUGACUGUACCUGAGGUGCAUUGGCACGGAACGAAAGACCUGUGUAAUCUUUGGCUGAAAGGUGACCUUCAGGAGUGACUUCAGUUCUCAGUUAAAAGGUACCUCAGGGCCAUAGUCCUCGUGGGUUCCCCCAGUCUCUGUCAGACCAGUAAGUCUUAUCUUUUUUGAUGAUUUUGAGUUUUGUUCCACAUUUUUUCUCCUGUUUUGUCCAGGAUCCUCUACUGUGAUCCCUGUCAGAGUGAUCGGUGGUGGUAGCCGGGCACCCUCUAGUUCUGGGCUCAGGCUGGUGGAAGCUGUGGUACUUGUGGUCCAUUGGACUAAUAUUUCCUUUGUGUCUUUGGUUUUCUUCAUUCUCCUUUGCUUCAGAUGGGGUGGGACCAGUCGAUGUGUCUUAGAUGGCUGUAAUUUGUUUUGAGGUGGGCCUUUUGUUCUUCUCAUUCUUUUAUUGUGCUGGUGCUCUCUUUGUGACAAUGUGCAAAAUUUCAAAUCAGUGGAAGUUUAUAAAUUUAUGAUAUAUCUGUCAUAAUUCAUGUUUAGAGUUCCAACAUAACAGUGAAUAAUUCUAAGAUUAGCAGUCUAGUGAAGUAAUACAGAUGGAAUCAGUUCAUUUUUACAUUGCUUAUUUAAUAAAUAGUUCUUAAGCACUUACACCUACCACACAUCUGUCAGUUUGUCAUACUGUGGUGGCUUGCAUGUUUCUGUGAUGCUGGAAGCUAUGCCACUGGUAUUUCAAAUACGAGCAAGGUCACCCUUGGUGGACAGGUUUUAGUGAGCUUCCAAACUAAGACAGACUAGGAAAAAGGAUCCGGUGGUCUGCUUCUGAGAAAUUGACCAGUGAAAACCUUAUGAAUAGCAGCAGAACAUUGAUAUAGUGCCAGAAGAUGCGCCUCUCAGGUUCGAAGGUACUCAAAAUAUGAUUGGAGAAGCGGUGCCUCCUCAAAGUAGAAUUGAUCUUAAUGAUAUGGAUGGAAUAAAGCUUCUGGGACCUUCAUCUUUUGAUGUGGCACGACUCAAAAUGAGAAGAAACAGCUGGAAAUAUCCAUGAAUAAAUGGAACAUGGAAUGUACGAAGUAUGAAUCUAGGAAAGUUGGAAAUCAUAAAAAAUGACAUGGAACACAUAGAGCUCGAUAUCCUAGGCAUUCGCGAACUGAAAUGUAGUGCUAUUGGCCAUUUUGAAUCAGACAAUCAUAUGGUCCACUAUGCCAGGAAUGACAAAUUGAAGAGGAAUGGCAUUGCAUUUGUCAUUAAAAAGAGCAUUUCGAGAUCUAUCCUGAAGUACAACAUGGUCGGUGAUAGGAUAAUAUCGAUACACCUAUAAGGAAGACCAGUUAACACAAAUAUUAUUCAAUUUUACACACCAACCACUAAUGCCAAAGAAGAGGGAAUUGAAGAUUUUAACCAACUUCUGCAGUCUGAAAAUGAUCAAACAUGCAAUCAAGAUGCAUUGAUAAUUACUGGUGACUGGAAUGUGAAAGGUGGAAACAAAGAAGGAUCAGUAGUUGGAAAAUAUGGCCUUGGUGAUAACAACGACACUGGAGAUCACAUGUUAGAAUUUUGCAUGACUAUUGACCUCCUCAUUGUAAAUGCUUUUUUUUAAAUAACAUAAACGGCGACUAUACACGUGGACCUUGCCAUAUGGAGCACACAGGAAUCAAAUCAACUACAUCUGUGGAAAGAGAUGAGGAGAAGCUCAAUAUCAUCAGUCAGAACAAGGCUAGUGGCCUACUGCAGAACAGACCAUCAAUUGCUUGUGUGCAAGUUCAAACUGAAGCUGAAGAAAACUAGAACAAGUCCACAAGAGUGAAAGUAUGACCUUGUGUAAAUCCCACCUGAAUUUAGAGACCAUCUCAAGAAUAGAUUUGAUGCAUUGAACAUUAAUGACCGAAGUCCAGAGGAGUUGUGGGAUGACAUAAAGGACAUCAUACAUGAAGAGAGCAAAACGUCAUUAAGAAGAUGGGAAAGAAAGAAAAGACUAAAAUGGAUGUGUGAAGAAACUCUGAAGCUUGUUCUUGAAUGUAGAGUAGUUAAAGCAAAUGGAAGAAAUGAUAAAGUAAAAGAGCUGAACAGAAGAUUUCAAAGGGUGGCUAGAGAAGACAAAGUAAAGUAUUAUAAUGAAAUGUGCAAAGACCUGGAAUUAGAGAACCAAAAGGGAAGAGAACACUUGGAAUUUCUCAAGCCGAAUGAACUGAAGAGAACAUUCAAGCCCCAAGUUGCAGUUCUGAAGGAUUUCUUGGGCAAAAUAGUGAAUGAUGCAGGAAGCAUCUAAAGAAGAUGGAAAGACACAGAGACACUGUACCAAGAGGAAUUGGUCAACACUCAUCCAUUUCAGGAGGUAGCAUAUGAUCAAGAAAUGACGAUAUUGAAGAAAGAAGUCCAAGCUGCCCUGAAGGCAUUGGUGAAAAACAGGCUAUAGCCAUUGAUAGAAUACCAGUUGAUAUAUUUCAGCAAAUGGAUGCACCACAGGAGGUGCUAAUUCGUCUGUGCCAAGGAAUUUGGAGGACAGUUACUUGACCAACUGACUGGCAGAGAUCCAUAUUUGUGCCCAUUUCAAAGAAAGAUGAUCCAACAGAAUGUGAAAUUUAUUGAACAGUAUCAUUAAUAUCACUCACAAGCAAAAUUUUGCUGAAGAUCAUUCAAAAACAGUUGCAGCAGUACAGCGACAGGGAACUGCCAGAAAUUCAAGCCGAAUUCAGAAGAAGACGUGGAAUGAGGGAUAUCAUUGCUGAUGGAUGGAUAUCGUCAUUGAUGAAGUGUGGCUGAAAGCAGAUAAUACCAGAAAGAUGUUUACCUGUGUUUUAUUGACUAUUCAAAGGCAUUUGACUGUGUGGAUCACAACAAAUUUGGAUAACAUUUGAAGAAUGGGAAUUCCACUUAAUUGUGCUCAUGCUGAAUCUGUACAUAGACCAAGAGGCAGUUGUUCGAACAGGACAAAGGGAUACUGCAUGGUUUAAAGUCAGGAAGGGUGUGCGUCAGGAUUGUAUCCUUUCACUAUACUUAUCCAGUCUAUGCUGGCAAGUAAUCUGAGAAGCUGAGUUAUAUGAGGAAGAACGCAACACCAGGAUUGGAGGAAGGCUCAUUAACAUACUGUGAUAUGCAGAUGACACAAUAUUGCUUGCUGAAGGCAAAGAGGACUUGAAGCACUUACCGAUAAAGGUCAAAGAUUACAGCCGACAGUAUGGCUUACACCUCAACAUAAAGAAAACAAAAAUCCUCACAACGGGACCAAUAAGUAACAUCAUGAGAAAAGACUGAAGUUGUAAAAGAUUUCAUAUUACUUGGAUCCACAAUCAAUGCCCAUGGAAGCAGCCAUCAAGAAAUCGAAUGAUGUAUUGCAUUGGGCAAAUGUGUUGCAAAAGACCUUCUUUAAAGUGUUAAAAAGUGAAGAUGUCACUUGGAGGACUAACGUGUACCUGACCCAAGCCAUGGUAUUUUAAACUGCCUCAUGUACAUGGUACAUGUGAAAGCUGGACAAUGAAUAAGGGAGACUGAAGAAGAAUUGAUGCCAGUUGAAUUAUGGUGUUGGUGAAGAAUAUUGAGUACACAGUGGGCUGCCAGAAGGACAAACAAGUCUGUCUUGGAAGAAAUGCAGCCAGGGUGCUCCUUGGAAGCGAGGAUGGCAAGACGUCAUCUUAUGUACUGUGGACAUGUUAUCAGGAGGGACCAGUCCCUGAGAAGAACAUCAUACUUGGUGAAGUAGAGGGACAGUGAAAAACAGGAAGGGCCUCAAUGAGACAAAUCGACACAGUAGCUACAGCAAUGGGCUCAAAAGUAGCAAGGAUUGUGAGGAUGGUGUUACCGCAGUUUCAGGAGUUGGAGCCUCCUGCUGUAAACAGCCAGCUCUUGAGACAGGGGUGAGGUGGGUAGCAAGAGCUUUAUUAAUAUAUCAAUAUAUGGAGACGGGGGAACAGGGAUAUGGAGACAGAGGAGAAUGAUCUCCUCCUAAAUCUGUCUGUCUCAAGAAACUGGAGGCCACCUGGGGUUUUUUAGGGAAAAGGUUUUAGGAACUUGUGGAAUGUCCAUUUUCUUUCUGUGUGGUUUCGAUGGUCACGUUUCAAACACGUUGGUCUUUUCCUGCCAUUAUCCCAUCAGCCCAGGGGGUGACUGGCGCCAUCCUGGUGAGCAUCACCCUGUUUGACAGGCUUAGAUCAAUAUCACUUGUUUUUUCAUGGUCCUAGGGGAAAUAUUCAUUAAUUUUUAUUUCCAAGGAGUGCCUGGUGGAUUCAAACUACCAUCCUUUUGAUUAGCAGCGGUAGCAUUUAACCACUAUGCGUAGUGGUUAAGUGCUACGGCUGCUAACCGAAAGUCGGCGGUUUGAAACCGCCAGGCGCUUCUUGGAAACUCUAUGGGGCAGUACUACCUCUGUCCUAUAGGGUCGCCAUGAGUCGGAAUCGACUUGACCGCACCGGGUGUGGUUUCGGGCUUACCACCAGGGUUUCCAACAAGCACUUACUGUGAAUAAAAUACUCUUUCUGUUGAGUUAACAGCCCUGAUGUACAGACUGUCUUAAUCUCAUUUUUGGUGAAGGCUCCAUGAAAACGAAGUGGAUUUUAACUCACUAAUAGGUUUAUCUCAUUCUCUUCAGAUAUAGAUGUCAAUUGUAUUUCUCCAAAUUUCUUAGCGUCUGAGCCCUGACUCAUUCAGAUGACAAAGCUGGCAACUUGUGACCAUCUAGAAGGAAAUGAAUACAUCAGUUGGUUUACAGAAGUGGAAGUUGCAUAAAAUACAGAGAUAUGGGUUUGAGUUUCAUCUGCACCACUUAUAACUAUUGUUUGGUCUUAGACAAGUUAUUUAAUCUAUCUAACUUUUGGUUUCUUCAACUGUAAAAUGAGAAUAAUACUUAUUUUUCAGGAUUAUUUUUAAGUUAAAGUAAUGACUAUAAAAUCAUUUUGUUAAUUGCAAAGUGCUAUGUAAAUUUCCUCUUUCUUCUUUGCUUCUUUCUUUUUCUGUCAUUGAAUUAAAGAUGCCUACUAAUGAUAAUGGAGCCCUGGUGGCAGAGUGGUUAAGAGCUAUGGCUGCUAACCAAAAGGUAGGUGGUACGAAUCCAACAGCUGCUCCUUGGAAACCCUCUGGGGCAGUUCCACUCUGUCUUAUGGGAUCAGUAUGAAUUGACUUGACAGCAACGGUUUAAAAAAGUUUUUUUUUUAAUUAAUGAUACUAUUUUUUUGUAUUGUUGUUUUGGAAGCAGCUGGAAGUGUAGGCAGAAACAGAAAUCAUUGGUAUCCAUCCACUUAACCUCCACUUAAACAUUCCAUGAGUUUAUCCUCUUUCAUUGCUAGAAAAUUAUUUAUGCAAGCACUUUGAGAUAAGGUUAUGCUGGCAAUAUCAACCUGUUUUGGUCUAUGAACAACUAAAAUUUGAUUGAAAUUGAAAUAUUCAAAUGAUAUAUCUGAUUGGUUUCUAAUAAGAGAACAUUGCUUUAUUAACUUUUCGUGAGAAAAAAAUCUUUGGCUUGUUAUGUUUUUUAUUCUUUAAGAAAUACAUGCCCAUAAAAUAUCAAAUACUAUAACAGCUUUAAGGUAAACAUGAAUUGCCCUGUUUACUCCAUUGUUAUUUUUAUAUAUCCAGAGAAAGCUAUUUUUAACAGUUUGAUUAUAUUUUUCCCUACAAUUUUUAUAAGCUUUUGUUUCUACACAAAUUGACUAAAAUAUAUAUAAUUCUGUAAUUUAACUUCUUCACUUAGCAAUACAUUGUGCAACUUAUUGUAAGUGGUCCUAUUAACAAGGCUACAGGAGAUGAAGUGGCUGCGAGGGAAAGGACAAUUCAAGGACUGCUGAGUAAAAGAGUGCUUCUUAUGGCACUGGACAGCCUAAAGAGAGAAUGACAAGCUCAAAGUCCUGAACUCUUGGCUCCAGGUUAGAAUAUUACAAACCCAGUCGAAUUCAAGCUUUACUAGAUCGUUUAAGUAACAACUAGAGGCCUGAUCGUGAUAAAAUGUGACCUCAAGAACUUAGAGAAGUGGCAGUUGCAUAAAAUACGGAGGAUUCAGUCCAAAGCACCCGCCCGGCAAACAUUCAAAGCUCGUAAGUUUCGUUUCAUUUGCCCACAAAGGAAGUAGGCAUUGUGAGGGCCUGACUCCACCCUGUGGUUAAAUAACUUGUCCAAGGUCACAAAGCCAAAAAACGACAGGUUUUCAUGCCAAGGUAAUCUGUCUCCAGGAGCCCUGGUGGUGCAACAGUUAAGUACUUGGCUGCUAACUGAAAGGUUGGCCAUUGGAACCCACCCAGUGGCUCCACAGGAGAAAGAACUGGCAAUCUGCUUCUUAAAGAUUGCAGCCAAGAAGAGCCGGUGGGGCAGUUCCACUGCGUCACAUGGGGCUGCUAUGAGUCAGAAAUCAACUCCACACCACUCCACGACAACAAUCUGUCUCCUUUAAAAUCCAGGCCCCUGACCACUACUCUUUACUGCUCAUUGAUAAUCUAUUAUGAGUGGGGUUGGGAGGUCAGUAUAAAUAAUAAGUAUAUUCUCCAUUCAAAUAUUUAUUUACCUAUUAAUAUCUGAAAGAAGUAUCAUUCUGUACCUAAUUUUCUGUCAGCUGUAGCUGCUGUCUUUCUGCGUUCCCAGGAAACUUUGGUUGGAAUUCAGAUUUAGACUCUGUAGAUGAAAUUUCACUGGCUCAUUUUCAUUUAUUUAUUCCUUUUUAAGUGCUUCUGUCACCAGGAAGUCUGAGCAGUAUGUCCUACAGUUGUGCUGGAGUUGCUCGCGGGAGCACGCCCUCUACUGGUCGCAUGCUGAUAUGCAGCCAGAUGCAGCAUCCACGCAAAGUGCUUCUAUGACAUUUCUUUCCUAUUGUAAGUGCAAUGGCAGAACAGAUAAUAAGAACAAAGAAAAUAUUGAAGAACAAACAAAAACAUCCAUAGUGGCUCUUCAUUCACUGUAUUUUUUAAUUGAAGGUAUGACACUAUUCUUAGAUUUAUGAGGCGGAAUGUAAAAUCACAGUGGACAAUUUGACUCCUGGCUCAGAUGCAGGCAACUCAAUAAUGACAGUUAUGCUUUGUUUUUUUAAAUAUUCACCCCCAUAUCUUGACAUCUUUCAAAAGGGGGCUGAAAACGGCAAUUCUGUAAAAUUUUUGAAAUAGAUGCUAGACCAUAAAGCUGUUGUGAAAACCAUCACAAACAAGCCUAUAUACCCUCCAGGGCUUAAGGACUUACAAGAAAAUAUAACUCUCUUCCUUUCUCUUUCUUUCUCAAGAGAAUGUGUCUGAGGAGUGCUUCAGCAUGAGUUCUAUAGUCACAAAACAUAUUACUGUCUUCAUGUACAGUUAAGGGAGAAAUAACAGACAUAAAAAAAUAGGUAGAAAAAAAUAACUAAACAUGAGCAAAGGGCAACAUAAUUUUAGCUAGUUGGAUCAUUAAAACAAGAUAGUAAGCUACCGUAUUUACCGGCAUCUGUGCUACACAAUCCCUAGGGUUCAUUUUCUCAGGCCAUAGGGUCUAUGUACCAGAGUACAAUUUGUCUUUACCCCUGCUUACUUGGCCGUCUUAUAUUGUGUCUGACUCCAAGCAAGAAAUGAGAUUUUCUGCAACUAUGACAAAGUACAUAAUGAAUACUGAAGUCAUGCAGUUAGGAAAAAUCCAAACGAGUAAAAGAAAGAAAACACCCAAGUUACUGACUUCUAGUCUCUCUUUGCUGAAAGCACUAUUGAUUCAACAAGUAUUUAAUGAGCAUCUACUAUUUAGAAAGGUGUUUGUCAAGUUCUGUGUGUAGAUAAAAAUUAAGACACGGGUCUCACACCCAAAGAGCUUACAAACUAGUAAGGGAGAGAAUUUCAUUAGCAAGCCAAACAAAACAAAGGAGAUCAUCUUUCCAACUUGGAGGAUAGGUAAGCGUUUCAUCACAUGUUAUUUGAGCUAACCUUUCACGAAGAGAAUUUCAACAAGCAGGUAUAGAAAAGAAGGUAUUCCAGGCAAGGUUGUUUUUUAGCAAGCAUUCAAUGUAUGGUGUUUGAAGAAUGACCAGUACUCUGGAGCAUACUUUGAGUGAAAGAGAGAACUAAAAGUUGAGGAUGGUAUGGUACCUUUGGACUUUAUUCUCUAAGCAAGAGAGAACCAAUUCAAGCAAUGAGUAGGAAAGUGAGGGGUAUGAGCAGAGCUUAGCUUUAGGCAGAUCAUUCUGGUGGGAACACAUAAACUGGAUUAAAACAAAGAAAGCUAGAGGCAAGCAGACAGCUAGAAGUUUAUCAGAAUGGAGGAAAUAAGGAGUAAUAAAGGCUUACAGUACAGCAUCAGAGGCAGGUAUCAAUGCAUAAUUGAAGGAGUUGAGCUAGAAAAGUGAUUCUCCAUAUUUUUCCCCAACCAAAAACCUGAGGUUUAGGAUACACUCCUAUCUAUGAUAGUGCCUUACAACCUCAGCAAUUGUAAGAAAUUACUUAUUUUGCUAGGGAAGUCACCUUAGCCCCAUACAAGGGAAGUAAAAGGGGGGAGGGGGGGCGGUAUAUCAGACUCUCUAGAGAAAUCAGUGUGUUAUUUUAAAAGAUUUAAAAUAUAUAUAUAUAUACAUACAUAUAUAUAUAUCCAUGGUAUUCUUAUCUAUCUCCUGUGACAGUCACUGAAUGAGAACUCUAAGAUCCUUUCUGGCUUUCAAAGACUUUGACUCUGACUUUAGUUCUAUCUCUUACACUGAUCCUCUUUAUUUAUGCAAUUCUGGGAUAUGGGAAGCAGCCGAGAUCAUGAAGAUGAGUUGAAGCAAAUGAAAUAAACCAUACCAGCAAAUAAAUAAUGAACAAAAAUUAUCUCUAGUAAUUAGGCGCUCUCUGGGUUUGGAACCCUGAACACAGAGAUCUAGUCUCAACUUCUUAAAAGCUGCUUCUUGAAAAGGAAUAGUAAAUACGAAAUACCCUUUUACUACCUACUGGCCCAUUUGCAUCGGGUAAAUUAAAUAAAAAAGGUAAUCAGAUAAGCAAAUUAAAAGGUAAAAGAGACACCACCUUUUUCUGUAUU